GACGAACGCUGGCGGCGCGCUUAACACAUGCAAGUCGAGCGAGAACCUGGGCUUCGGCCCUGGGGACAGCGGCGAACGGGUGAGUAACACGUGGGUAAUCUGCCCUUGACAUCGGGAUAGCCCGGGGAAACCCGGAUUAAUACCGAAUAGCCUCCGGAGCCUUCGGGCGCCGGAGAAAAGGUAGCUUCGGCCUCUGGUCGAGGCUGAGCCCGCGGCGGGUUAGCUUGUUGGCGGGGUAACGGCCCACCAAGGCGACGAUCCGUAGCUGGUCUGAGAGGACGAUCAGCCACACUGGGACUGAGACACGGCCCAGACUCCUACGGGAGGCAGCAGUGGGGAAUCUUGCGCCAAUGCGGGAAACCGUGACGCAGCGACGCCGCGUGGGGGAAGAAGGCCUUCGGGUUGUAGACCUCUUUCAGGAGGGACGAAGCCACUCGGGUGAAUAGCCCAGAGGGUGACGGUACCUCCAGAAGAAGCCCCGGCUAACUACGUGCCAGCCGCCGCCGUAA
rnacentral:rRNA from 1 species